rnacentral:rRNA from 1 species
AGGGAAUCUUCGGCAAUGGGGGCAACCCUGACCGAGCAACGCCGCGUGAGUGAAGAAGGUUUUCGGAUCGUAAAGCUCUGUUGUAAGAGAGGAACGAGUGUGAGAGUGGAAAGUUCACACUGUGACGGUAACUUACCAGAAAGGGACGGCUAACUACGUGCCAGCAGCCGCGGUAAUACGUAGGUCCCGAGCGUUAUCCGGAUUUAUUGGGCGUAAAGCGAGCGCAGGCGGUUAGAUAAGUCUGAAGUUAAAGGCUGUGGCUUAACCAUAGUACGCUUUGGAAACUGUUUAACUUGAGUGCAAAAGGGGAGAGUGGAAUUCCAUGUGUAGCGGUGAAAUGCGUAGAUAUAUGGAGGAACACCGGUGGCGAAAGCGGCUCUCUGGUCUGUAACUGACGCUGAGGCUCGAAAGCGUGGGGAGCAAACAGGAUUAGAUACCCUGGUAGUCCACGCCGUAAACGAUGAGUGCUAGGUGUUGGGUCCUUUCCGGGACUCAGUGCCGCAGCUAACGCAUUAAGCACUCCGCCUGGGGAGUACGACCGCAAGGUUG